AUGAACUCUGGCGGCGUGCCUCAUACAUGCCAGUCGCGCGAACAGACGAGGAGCUUGCUCCUCUGACGUUAGCGGCGGACGGGUGAGUAACACGUGGAUAACCUACCUAUAAGACUGGGAUAACUUCGGGAAACCGGAGCUAAUACCGGAUAAUAUAUUGAACCGCAUGGUUCAAUAGUGAAAGACGGUUUUGCUGUCACUUAUAGAUGGAUCCGCGCCGCAUUAGCUAGUUGGUAAGGUAACGGCUUACCAAGGCGACGAUGCGUAGCCGACCUGAGAGGGUGAUCGGCCACACUGGAACUGAGACACGGUCCAGACUCCUACGGGAGGCAGCAGUAGGGAAUCUUCCGCAAUGGGCGAAAGCCUGACGGAGCAACGCCGCGUGAGUGAUGAAGGUCUUCGGAUCGUAAAACUCUGUUAUUAGGGAAGAACAAAUGUGUAAGUAACUAUGCACGUCUUGACGGUACCUAAUCAGAAAGCCACGGCUAACUACGUG
rnacentral:rRNA from 1 species